rnacentral:rRNA from 1 species
CCUAACACAUGCAAGUCGAGCGGAAACGAGUUAACUGACCCUUCGGGUGACGUUAACGGCGUCGAGCGGCGGACGGGUGAGUAAUGCCUGGGAAAUUGCCCUGAUGUGGGGGAUAACCAUUUGGAAACGAUGGCUAAUACCGCAUAAUGCCUUCGGGCCAACGAGGGGGACCUUCGGGGCCUCUCGCGUCAGGAUAUGCCCAGGUGGGAUUAGCUAGUUGGUGAGGUAAUGGCUCACCAAGGCGACGAUCCCUAGCUGGUCUGAGAGGAUGAUCAGCCACACUGGAACUGAGACACGGUCCAGACUCCUACGGGAGGCAGCAGUGGGGAAUAUUGCACAAUGGGCGCAAGCCUGAUGCAGCCAUGCCGCGUGUGUGAAGAAGGCCUUCGGGUUGUAAAGCACUUUCAGCAGUGAGGAAGGCGGGUACGUUAAUAGCGUGCUCGUUUGACGUUAGCUGCAGAAGAAGCACCGGCUAACUCCGUG